rnacentral:rRNA from 1 species
GAUCAUGGCUCAGGACGAACGCUGGCGGCGUGCCUAACACAUGCAAGUAGAGCGGAGACAGUGAGUAGCUUGCUAUGAGCUGUUUUAGCGGCGGACGGGUGAGUAACGCGUGAGCAACCUUUCCCAGACAGGGGAAUAACACACCGAAAGGUGUACUAAUACCGCAUAAGACCACGGUUUCACAUGGAACUGAGGUAAAAGAUUUAUCGGUUUGGGGUGGGCUCGCGUCCGAUUAGGUAGUUGGUGAGG